UCGGCAGCCAGUCCUUCACGCGUCUGGUGGGAGCGUGGGAGCGGGAGAGGCAAGCAAGGUUAAUGACUCGCCUAAGGUCACGGGAAAAAUACAUGAAAUGGCAGCUAUGAAACAUAUUCACAGGUCAGAAAAGAAGUGAUUUGUUGGCUCGAGGUCAGCCAACAAUAAAAAAGUUGGAUGACCAAAACAGUUUGACAUAUAUACAACUCCAGCGUGUCAGUCCUGCAGAGGGCUUAAAGACGAUCCACGUUAGCCCCCACAUUAUACAGACAAGAAAGGCACUUGCUCCAGGUCUGGGAGCUGGUUACAGCAAAAGCCAGGACUAGAACCCUGUGUCCAGCUCUAGCUCCUGUCUCAGGGCCACAGCUGUAAGGAUACCCGCCCUCUCCGUGUGACCGUGGAGGAUGCUGGGGCUGAGAUUUCCUUCCUG
rnacentral:lncRNA from 1 species